UACGAAGGGGGCUAGCGUUGUUCGGAUUUACUGGGCGUAAAGCGCACGUAGGCGGAUCGAUCAGUCAGGGGUGAAAUCCCAGGGCUCAACCCUGGAACUGCCUUUGAUACUGUCGAUCUGGAGUAUGGAAGAGGUGGGUGGAAUUCCGAGUGUAGAGGUGAAAUUCGUAGAUAUUCGGAGGAACACCAGUGGCGAAGGCGGCUCACUGGUCCAUUACUGACGCUGAGGUGCGAAAGCGUGGGGAGCAAACAGG
rnacentral:rRNA from 1 species